UGCGACAUUCCCAAAGCGACUCGACUCUCCGAGCUGACAUCAGAGAGAAGCUCAUUUUCCAAUGAAAAGGGGUAAAGCCGGCUGACGUUAACGACGUCCUUGGAAAUAACGUACUCGUAGUCCGGGUUGAGUGAAUACUCCUCACUUCUGGCCUGGAACUUGGCAAACACCUCAACUACCUUCUCGAGCGAACAAUCAAGUUCGUCCACUUCGCAAGUUGCGAAGUCAAGAAGCGUCUCACUGCGGAUUGUUCGGGCUGUGCCAAUGACUUGAGCGUAGCUUGGGUCGUGGCAUUGCAUUUGCGAAGCCUUAGUCACCCAAAGAAGACCAGAUUGACCAAGGCGAUCUAUCAACCCUUGGAAGGCUUUGAAACGAGGUUCUUCGAUAUCCUUGAAAAAAGGUGUGGCGAUGUCCAGCAAGGAGAUGAUAUCUUGGCCUUCUGGAAAUUCUUGGCCAAGUUGGAAAGGA
rnacentral:sRNA from 1 species